AAAAAUGUAAAAGAAAAAAGUCUGGUGCAUGUGCUGCCGCAGCCCGAGCUCACCCCUUCCACCGGCCCUUUUACCCAAAUGUACGCAUUUUCCAUGAUGUUCUUCAAGGAAGUAUUUGACAACAUUGCAGCCCAGGAAUCUCCAGCCCUCUUCCCGGAUUACUUCAUGCACAUAAAAGAAAACGCAACUACAGUGGACCCUGAACAACGUAGGUAUGAACUGGUUCAACACGGGUUUGAGUCCACGUAUCCAUUUAUAUGUGAAUUUUUUUCAACCAAACAAGGAUGGAAAUACGAUGUUCGUGGAUGUGAAACCUGCACACACAGAGGGCUGACUGUUGGUAUCGUGGGUUCCACAGGGCUGGCUGCAGGACUAGAAUAUGCACAGAUUUGAUAUAUUGAGGGGUCCUGGAACCAAGUCUGCGAGUAUAGCAAGGAAAGAGUGUGUAUAUCUUAUUCCUCCUACACAAAAGUUAGUGCGUCAUACACACCAUUUUGCAGUUUGGCUCUCCCCCUAACAAUAUACCUUGGUGCUCCUUCCCUGUCAGCCCCCACAGAGCUUCCUCCAUCUUGGUGGCAGCUGUGUGAUAUUUAGUCUACUACCAUUUAUUUAACCAAGCUCCAUUGAUGGACAUUUGGCUGGUCACACACCCUGGCUGUUACAUCCUGUGGCCUCUCUCUGUCCCAUCUUCUAGAUCGCCUCCACCCUGCUUCCCUUGUCCUCACACCACACUCCAGCCCAGGAACCAGCCAAGUAAAGGGAGUACCCUUUCUCUUUUAGAAGGUGGGGCAAGAGGAUGGUGGUGAACAUUUUCCUUCUUUCACACACACAUGCCUUGGCAUUGCGUUUGCCUGCAUGCAGCUAUGGCCUGCAGCCACUGAAGAAUGCUUGCAUAAGGAGCUCUUCUCUGCACAUACCCCGACACAGUGAUGGUAUCUUGCAGCUGCUGCUUCUGUCCAAGGCACUGCAGCCUACUCGUCAAAAGCCCGAAGCCCAGCUCUGCCAGCAGUGCACUGUGUGCUCUUAGGUAAUCGCCUGGCUUCAGGACAAUGGGACAGUAACAGCUAACACUGGGACGGAGGUGCUUAUCAUGUACCCAGAACUACUCUUAAGAGCAUUGCAUAUUUAGCCUUAUUUGCUUAAAACAACAUUUUGAGGUCAGUCACAUACUUUCUCCACUGUGUCUUUCUGAGUCACAGAGAGGUUAAGUAACUUGUGCAAGGUCACACUGCUCAGCAGAACUAAGACUCAAUCUUAGCAAUCCAGAUCUAGGUUAUUAUGAGGGUUAAAGGUAUCAGUGAGCAGAACGCACUUGGACCCAGUACACAGCAGGUGCUCAUUGAAGCUUAGCUCUUGUCAUCAUGACUUGCCUAAGGAAUUGGGAUAUGGCUGGUCUUGCUUAGGUGGGGAGGAAGGAGAACUGAAAAAUACAACCCACACUUAGAAAAGUCUAAGAUUCCAAUUUACUCUGCCAAAUUUUUGAAAGCUCUGGAUUCAUGGAAGAGGAGGAGGGAGAGCAGCUAAGAGCAGCUCCUGCUGGGAUCAGGUGGGAAGUGCUGGGUGGGGUGAGUGAGCCCGGGUCACUCUGUUAUUACAAGCCCCGCCCGAGAAGCCUGGCUUCCCGUCUGACCUCCGAUCGUGCUAGCACAGGGCUCCGUCAACGUGAAAUGUGCAAAUGAUUUGGCGUCCCCCCUCCCUUGCUUUUCUUUGCAGGAAACAGAGAAGCAAAGAAGUUAGCAAGCUUGUUUUGGCAGAAGAAAAAACACAAAAUACCCAACCACAGAUCCUCAAAAAUAUUGCUAAGCACUAAUUUUGCUAACAUGUUAGACAGCCUUCGGAUCUAGGCAAUCUUGUUCCUCAGCUGGAAAGAGUUCCUGCCAGCCAUGUGAUUCCAAAUCCACCCUGGACAUAUGGGGAUAAUGAGAAAAUCAGCUCCGGCCUUCCCUGGCCUUCCAGCCAAGUGAAUGGGGGCAUCCCCUGGUGCUUCAGCCCGGGGCCCACCCAGAGGAUGCUAGCUGGCCUGCAGAGGCCUCAACCAUGCCCUCCUGGACUCAGGUAAGACUGAGGUUUCCAUGCCCUCAAAACAAUUGUUCAGACAAAAACUCACUGCCCAGGUCAAAGUCACAGCACCAGAAAGCCAACCUGAGGAUGAAGACAAAGCUCUUUGUUGGCACAGUCCCCUGAUCAUUCGAGGUCAGCAUCUCCAUCAAAAUGGACCCAAUGCUGAGGCAAGAAGGAGAACAUCACUGUUAAGAAGGUAAUGAGUCACAAAUGCUAUUUCGAUGGUUUUCUUUGAAAGAAAUACACAGAACCAAACCAAUUUUAAUUAAAGAUCUUGUCUUUGUAAUCAGGCAGCCACAAAUGAAGGCAAAACUGCUUUCAUGUGGCAUAAUAUACACAGAGCUGAACUAGUUUUCCCAUAAAAGGGCAGGUUCUUUUCUUCAAAUAAGAAAAGAGUUUGUUCCUAACAAUAUGGGGGAUGCAACAGAAAGCUGUCUUUUGCAAAGUAUAAAAUUGCAGAUCCUCCCGUGGAAGCCAUUUCUUGAUGCUAAACCAAUGCGAACGUUUGCCAAACGCACAUGCGAGCCGGGAUUAUCCUACCCUUUGAGAUUAGACAUGUGAUCCUGAUUUUUAAGUGAAAAACGCAGCCAGAGGCCAAAUAAACAUACCUACAAGUACAUCGAAAGCUCAAAUGGUUGAGAAAUGAUUGUAACACACCCCGGUGUGUAUUUCUGAGGAAGAAUCAACAUGCACAUGGAAAUUGAUGUUUUGAUUUUUAAUUUUAAAACGACGACAGAACUGAAAUACCUCCCCUAACUAGGUCCACUGAAACCAGUGAGGAGAUAAUCAUUUUCAGUUAAAUAUGCAUGUAAUUUAAUAAUCCACAGAUGGAAAAUGCAUUUGAGGUGGACUGAACACAGCCAGGAGUUUUUGCUUAUCGACAGCACUGAAUCCUGCCUUGACUAGAGAGACUCGUCAUGUGAUCAACUGUGGCCAGAGGGCAUCCUGCAGACAGCUCCUGUCACACCACACUGACCAGACUCUUAUGAGUAUUUAAGCAUCUUCAGGGAAGCGAUUGACUGUCUUAUAAUGGUCUUACAAGUACGGAACUUUAUUACCUGCUAAUAAUCAGAGCACAUGAUGGCACAAUAGAAUAUACGAGUGAAGUUCUAAAUGCAAGGUUGUUCUUAUUCUGUGAGUGGCAAAACUCAUGCAGUGAGCAGAUAAAGCUGGCAGGAGGCAUUGGCGCCCUAAUGCUGGGCACUAACCACCUGCCCGGACUGCGAAUAUCUGUUGGGUCCUUUCUAUAUCUGGUCUAUUCUCGUGUUUGAUUAUAUCCUGGUGGCAAGAAUAGCAAAAUCAACUCUCCUUCCUAUCCCAUGUGGAGAGGCAUGAUUUGAGUCAGAGAGCAUUAUCCUCUCUGCGUUAUCCAACCCCAUGUCCCAUGAUGCACUUUGUAGACAAGCAAGUGUCCCUGGUGGAGAAUCCACAGCCACACAUCCUCAUUGGUUGCAAGGAUCAGUGUCCAAUAUCUACUGCCAUGAUCAUUCUCAGUUUUACAUCCACAGAGCUUCAUAGAAUUCUAACACCACAGGUCCAAGUAGAGGUUUUGGCCUCAGAGUGGGCUAGAUUCCACCUCUGACAGCAGCUGUGGGACUGUUUUUCCAUCUGUAAAAUGGAGACAAGAGUAUCACCUACCUCAUGGUGUUGGUGGGAUCGUUAAACAGAAUUCCGAUCAUGAAACCCUUAGCCUGCUCCCUGCAUAGGCUGCAUGCGCUCAGUGAGCUAUGGCUCUGUUUCAUGCUGACUUUACCAUCAUGUAAGCAGUUUUAAAAAUGCUAGAAGCUUUAGUCAUAGAAUUACCAUAUGAUACAGCCUACUGCAGAGUCCAGAGGCUGAGGCAGGAGAGUUACUUGAACCUGGGAGGCGGAGGUUGCAGUGAGCCAAGAUCGCGCCACUGCACUCCAGCCUGGGCAACAGAGUGAGAUUCUGUCUCAACACAAAAAAGAAGACAUGUGUCCCCAUCACAGUAUCAUACAGAGUGCUUCCACUGCCCUAAAAUACCCUGUGCUCUUCCUAUUCAUCCCUCUCUUCAACCCCAGCAACCACUGAUCCUUUUACCAUCUCCAUGGUUUUGCCUUUCCCAGAAUGUCAUAUUGUUGGAAUCAUACGCUAUGUAGCCUUUGCAAAUGGGCUUCUUUCACCGAGCAAUGUGCAUUGAAGGUGCCUCUAUGACUUUUCAAGGGUUGAUAGCUCAUUCCUUUUUAUUGCUAAAUAAUAUUCCAUUGUCUGAAUGUACCACAUUUUGUUUAUCCAUUCACCUACUAAAGGACAUCUUGGUUGCUUCCAAGUUUGGGCAAUUAUAAAUAAAACUGCUAUAAACAUUG
rnacentral:lncRNA from 1 species